rnacentral:rRNA from 1 species
GCCUACGGGACGCAGCAGUGGGGAAUAUUGCACAAUGGGGGAAACCCUGAUGCAGCGACGCCGCGUGAGUGAAGAAGUAAUUCGUUACGUAAAGCUCUAUCAGCAGGGAAGAAACACUGACCUUACGGUCAGUAGACGGUACCUGAGUAAGAAGCCCCGGCUAACUACGUGCCAGCAGCCGCGGUAAUACGUAGGUGGCAAGCGUUGUCCGGAUUUACUGGGUGUAAAGGGCGUGCAGCCGGAGAGACAAGUCAGAUGUGAAAUCCACGGGCUCAACCCGUGAACUGCAUUUGAAACUGUUUCCC